rnacentral:rRNA from 1 species
GACGAACGCUGGCGGCGUGCUUAACACAUGCAAGUCGAACGGAAAGGCCCUGCUUUUGUGGGGUGCUCGAGUGGCGAACGGGUAAGUAACACGUGAGUAACCUGCCCUUGAUUUUGGGAUAACUUCAGGAAACUGGGGCUAAUACCGGAUAGGAGCUCCUGCUGCAUGGUGGGGGUUGGAAAGUUUCGGCGGUUGGGGAUGGACUCGCGGCUUAUCAGCUUGUUGGUGGGGUAGUGGCUUACCAAGGCUUUGACGGGUAGCCGGCCUGAGAGGGUGACCGGCCACAUUGGGACUGAGAUACGGCCCAGACUCCUACGGGAGGCAGCAGUGGGGAAUAUUGCACAAUGGGCGGAAGCCUGAUGCAGCAACGCCGCGUGCGGGAUGACGGCCUUCGGGUUGUAAACCGCUUUCGCCUGUGACGAAGCGUGAGUGACGGUAAUGGGUAAAGAAGCACCGGCUAACUACGUG